UACGGGGGGAGCAAGCGUUGUUCGGAUUUACUGGGCGUAAAGGGCGCGUAGGCGGCCACCGCAAGUCAAUUGUGAAAUCUCCGGGCUUAACUCGGAAAGGUCAACUGAUACUGCGGGGCUAGAGUGCGGAAGGGGCAACUGGAAUUCUCGGUGUAGCGGUGAAAUGCGUAGAUAUCGAGAGGAACACCUGCGGCGAAGGCGGGUUGCUGGGCCGACACUGACGCUGAGGCGCGAAAGCCAGGGGAGCGAACGGG
rnacentral:rRNA from 1 species